UACGGAGGGGGUUAGCGUUGUUCGGAAUUACUGGGCGUAAAGCGCGCGUAGGCGGACUAGAAAGUUAGGGGUGAAAUCCCGGGGCUCAACCUCGGAACUGCCUCGAAAACUCCUAGUCUUGAGGUCGAGAGAGGUGAGUGGAAUUCCGAGUGUAGAGGUGAAAUUCGUAGAUAUUCGGAGGAACACCAGUGGCGAAGGCGGCUCACUGGCUCGAUACUGACGCUGAGGUGCGAAAGCGUGGGGAGCAAACAGG
rnacentral:rRNA from 1 species